rnacentral:lncRNA from 1 species
UGAAUAUGAUCAACAUUUCCUCAUCUAAAGAUUUUUAUCCAAGAAGAUGAGCCUUUUUUCUAUCAAAGUGAAUUGACAAUUGAACUUCACAAAAUAAAUGGAACCUUUUUCAGAAGUAAUUAACAUGAAUUCUACAUGUGUUAGUCUUAAGCCACUAGAUGUCAUCCAUCCUCUUGAUCCGGAUGAAGAAAUAUAUCAUAAUCAAGAGGCUCAAGUUUGGCCAUCAAUCAUUGUAACCCAGGUAGAACAAACACAGCUAGUAGAUGCUAGCAUAGUAGGAC